UAUAUACAUUGCUCUUUUCUGCUUAGGUGGAUGACCGGUGGGCCUCUAUUCCUUGCGGGCCAGUUUCACAGUGUGCAUCUGGUGUGUGGGUCGCGUGCCUCUUCGGUGAAAAGCCUGCGGGGCGUGCCCUGGCCCCUGGACACCAAUCGCUUUCGCCCUCGAGCCCCGUGUUCUCCUCGAGUUCCCCUUCGCCUCUCACCUCCUUCAUCCACGGCCGGUCGUGAGAGAGAGCCGGCGGAAGCAGGGGCCAGAUCAAGAAGGAGGGUGUUGGCGACCUAGGUGCAGGCCGCCGGCGUGGGUCUGGCGGGCGUGGCGGCCGGUGGGGUUCUGGCGGGCUUGGCGGCCGACGGCGAUCUGGCGGGCGUGGCUGGAGCUAGAAGGGCAGCAGUAGCCUGUGGGGUGGCCACCGGACCGACAGCGACUUCAAUGGAGGGGAACGGUCCGGCAGGCGCAUGCAGGCGGGAGAAACUGGGGGCGCUCGUCGGUUGGGAAGAUGGCGACCACUUGAGCUUCUCGAUCUGGACAGGGCCACUACAGCACAAGCAAGGGGUGGGCGCGAGCAACAAUAUGGAGCCACACACGUCUACAGAGUAGAAGAAAGUGUUUGUUUGAACCUUGUGGUCUGACAGAGCAAUAAUGUUGGUCAUGUGAACAGAGGAUGGUCUUCAUGCCUCUCCCAUACAUAGAUGACAGGCCUGCAAGGAAAGGAGCAGAAGAAAACAUGGUGAGCAUGCAGAGAUGUUAAUAACCAGAAUUGUGCAUUUACAUGAAAGGAAGUAACGAUCAAAGAAGAAGAGUUAGAUGCUGCUUUGAUGGUAAACAUAUGCUUUAUUCUGGGAAGCAUAUGUUCUUGGUGCUUAAUAGCUUUGCAUUAACCUUCAAGGUUUGCCUUCCCAAUUUUAUCUCAUCGUCUUUGAUCCAGUUAGUGCCCAGCUUCUUCUGCUCUUGGUGAAAUAUCAAUAGAUGGAAGUCAGCCUAGGCAUAUGUGUACUAAUUUAGGAUAUUUCGAAUUUGGGGUUAGUUCAUAGUAGAGCUUGCUUUGCACUAUGUAUCUACCCGCCUUCAACACUAUGGUCUGUCUGCUGGGAUGUUUUGACAAGCACACUAUACUCCCCUGGGAAGUUUUUUUGCUCUGCUUUGAGGGCAUGUUGAAUUCUGAGUGACUUCAUUGAGCAUAUCAGGAGAUUGAUAGAUAGUGCGAGAGCUGGUAAGAUUAUUAGGAAGUUAAAUAAUUUUACAGCAUUAAUCUGAAUCUCAUACUCACACAUGAAUGGUGUCGGUUCCUAACAUUUAGCAUUUCUACGAUUUGCCCUUUUUAACUAUAUCCAAAAUGCAGAGAAGCGAGUUUUAUUUUCCAGGAGCUCUUAUGUUGCAGCUGAUACUAUUUUAUUCCCUUCAUCAUUUAUGAGGUCAGUACUAAUUUCACUUCCUCCCUCUUCUAUGAUUAAUCCACCAUGCCGAUAUGCUUCAUGACGACCAUGCUUUUGCCAUCCCUCACCCUCUCAGGUUAGAAUUACCCCCCUCUCAUUUUCUCAUGUGUGUCUGCUCAGUUUGAUAAAAAAAUGUCUACUAAGAAAAAUUUCUAAUGUAUAUUUCACUCAACAACAAAGAAUGUGCCUAAUGUGUGUGAUGACCUAAAAAAAUGUGUGUGUGUGUUUGCUCAAAGAACAAUAUAUGCUCAUGUGUGUCAGUCAGCAAUUGCCCUGUUAUCUGAAACCUAAUGCUAAACUGGACACCAACUAAUGCAGAUAAAUCGAGAGCAACACCAGCCUAAACUUCAUCUGAUCUCGAAAAAAGGGAAUAUAAACCAGCUAGACCAUCUACCCAGGCCAUCAUCUUCUUAUUUUUCACGCCUUGGAUAGUAUAUCUUGAAAUGGUACUGUUCAUGCCAAAUUUAUUUAUUUAUUUUAACCUUAUGGAUGCAAAUAUUUUUUGAUAUAUUAGUGGUCAAAGUUAUAAUGUUUAAUUAAUACAUCUAGCGCUGAUACAUAUUCACCACAUAUGAAUUACUUAUUUGACUGUUUAGCUAAAUGCAUUGUUGUUUGCAUUUUGAGAAGGGUGAUGUUCUGAUUUGUGCUGAUAUUCAUCUUUCUUUCUUUCUAAAGAUAUUCGAGAAAGAAGAUAGUAGGACAAGGCUAAAGGGGAACUAUGGUUAAAAGCUUUCUUUCUUUUGUUGUGACCUGUCUUACCUGGUUCUGCUUGAUAUGUUACUAAGCCGGGAUCAUGUAGUAACUAUAUUUAAUUAAAAUUUAGGUCAGUGGGAGCCUCUCCCACUGUCUUUCACUGGUCAAAAAAAGCUUGGAUCGUGUAAUCUUCUAACCUUCACUAAUCUUUCAUGCAUAAGCAGAGUUGCGUCCAUAGUGGAGGCGCAAAUCAAGAAGGUUGACUGAGGAGAUGAGGUUGGGUGCCGAGCACAUGGCAUGAUGAAGGUGCAGGCCUGUGUUUUUUUGGAUGGCAGCGGCAUACUACUUCAAUGAAUAAGAUAUCAUGCCUUUGUUUUUUUGCUCUGCUUUGCUUUUUAAAAGAAAUAUAAAUAAGAUAUCAUAAACUGAUAUCAUGCCUUUGUUUUGGCCUAUAAACCUACCAUACAAUGUAAUAUAUAAUGCUAUGUAUGAUCAUCAUACACAAAUAUCUAUUUCCUUGUGUUUCAGAGAUUCUAUGAUCGGUCUAUAAAUAUUGUUACUUGCAUGGUUUGAGUGUUUGGUUCACUCUCGCCUUUUGCGCCAUUGGCAUAAUAGGUAUUCUCAUGAAACUUUGUUAUCCCUUGAUUAUAAAAGUCAAAUCGAGUUUAUAUCCAUAUUUGUUUCUCGAUUAUUCAUCCUUCAGUUGGAUUAAAGUUUUUCUAUUGUUUGCAAGUGAAACUUACUUGAUGUACCUUUGGUAUGCUGAUAUAUAAUAACUCGAUGUACCUUUGGUAUGCUGAUAUCUGAUAGCAAAGUAAUUCAGAAUGCAGGUACUCCCCCUCUCCCCUUUGUGCCCUCUCUCUUCUCCAACCCCUCUUUCCUGUUACACACAGCCAUUGGGGCAGCAUAUCAUAUGAAUCCAAAGUUAAUCACGUGCUUCUUGCCCCUCUCUCUCUCCCUCUCUUCACAUGUACUCUCGUGGAUUUAGUCAGAUUUGAUUUAUUCUUGUUUCCUUUCCAGAUUUAAUUUCAUCCUUGUUUCCAAGCUCUUCCUAUUCAUAAUCUAUUAAUUAAUGACUUGUACAUACGUAUUUUAUCAUGUCUACUAAUAAUCUCAUCACAUUACAGUUCAUACAUCAGUUUAUUUUAUCUUGUUUCCUUCAAGUACGUAUUUAGGCUGUUCAUUUUCCCUUUUUCAGAUGUAUGCCAUGUAUGUGUAGCCAUGGUUCUGAAACACCACCAUUCCUUCUCUUCCUAUCAAUUUUCUUUGAUUCAGUUAUUUGACUAAAUGAUAAUAUAUGCCCCAGGGUUAAUUAGUACCUAAAAUGCUACCUUUGGUUUGUCAAAAAGAUCUAGAGUGGCUUCUGCAGCUCCUGUUAUGUUUCAUUGAUUCAGUCAUGUAGUAGGAUAGUUCCACUGGAUUUUACUAAAUGGUUUUGUAGCUUUACUUAGUGAAAAUGCCUCAAUUGGUUUCUGCAACAUUGCUUGUCUAUUGGCAGCUGGAGCAUACUUGGUACAUGAGCCUUGCCGUGAGUGGUGGUGCAACGGUGACCUCGACGAGCAGGGCAAUGGCCAGACACGAGUAAGGCACCAAAGAUGACUGGAAGCACUCAAAAAAGUUUACCACGCUGGAGCUAUGUCAGGUUGUACGAGGGCAGUUAAUGAAUAUACUUGCGACCCUUUUACUCUCAGACUCUCCUCCUUUUCUCGCUGCUGAACCCCUGCCACCAUCAUGUCCAGACUGGCUGUCUCCAUGGUUGUGGCGCCAAGGUCACCGCAUCUUACAUCCUGAUGCAUUUUCAAGAAGACAUUAUUUGAUGUUAGAUGGCCAUUAUGUUCGUUCCAUGUGGACAGAGGACUAAUGGUACUCUUCCAUGAAGAGAAGCAAGUGGAUCAGUAUGUAGUAGUAGAUCUGAGAUAGAAAAGAAGAGAAAUAAUCUUGUGGAAUUUCAUAUCUAAGAUAGAAAAGAAGAGAAAGAUUCUUGUGGAAGAGCUUGACGAAAAAGAAAGGGGCAGCACAACUGUACACCACCAUGAAUAGGGGCAACACUCACAUUUCCCCUCCAAAAUUCAACAUUUUCAUAUUUUGAGGAGCUUCAGUACGUUUGCUCACCGAGGAACUAGAAGUUUUUUUGUGUACUGCAUGAUUGAGGAAGUGCUAUUGCAGAUCAAAGUUGGUAGAAGCAUCUGCUGGGAAUCAAGUGUUACAUGGCUGUGGGUGACAAGGUUAGUCGUUUAGGAGUUCCUGCCAAGACUAGCUUUUGGAAUUUAUCCUCGCUUCAUCAGUUGGGAUUUCUGUACAAAACUAAGAUAAUUUAUUUUGGUGCUUGCGAUGAGUAUUAGACUGAGGGGUGAUGCACACAUACUUUACCCAGUGUAUCUGUUCAUGUAUGUUGUUAAUUGACUAAUUAGACAAAAAAACCUCUAUCUGUAUGGUGUUUGUGAUGAUGCUAUCAAUUCACCAAACACUAAAAUACCGGGUUGUGCUUUUCAAAUCUAGCAAAUUAAUUCUCUAUUGCUUGUCCAAAUAGAGGUAUUAGAUCUAUUCUGUGCCAUGAGUCUUACUGUCAAAAAAUUAUAUAAGCCGCGCUAGAUGAUUAUAGGUAGCUCAUAUCAAGAACUUUGUUUAGCAGCACACUGCCUAAUGCCAUCUUCUGAGGAAGCUGGACAUGCAAAAAUUGACAGUGUUGGACAUUUCUCUCUGUAGCAAUGAAUAAACUCAUUUUAUUACUGUAUAGCCAUGGUGGCAAUCUUUUUCGGAUAACAAGAAACAAUUUGCUUCUCACCAGAGAUAAUAUUGCAGUCUAUCAGAAAAAAUGUUAGCUAUUUAAUUAAACAGAAAACUCUGUCACUCAUAGCAACAGAUGAUAAACUAUCAGUCUACCUGAUAGAAAAGCAAAAUUGCCACAUUAUUUAGAACAUUUCUCUAAUUUUGAGAUGGCCUACUACUAACAUGUUUAGAAUUUUGCCAUGUGUUAGAUAAUAUGGCAAACUUGUAUAAGAAAUCAGGGAUACACAUGGCAACCUUUAACCAAUUUGUCCUAUAAAAAUUUGCCAUACAUCGGUCAAGCUCCACAUCGGGCAUGUACAAAUGGAAACAAACAAAGUUUACUAGGAUUCUCGAUUGGGGAUGAGUAGACACUGGAGCACAUACACAAUAAAAGGAUUGCUAAAAAAAUUUGCAAUCUGCGGGACGCUGGAUGGCAAAUGAAAAUAAAAGGAAGCAACAUAAGAUGGGACGAGGAGGCAAACCUUGUAGUGUAGGGGCAUCUGGCUGUUCCCAAGGCCCUUGCGCUUGGUGUGGUCGCAAUGAUGGCGCCCGUGACGCUCCGGCCCAGCGCGCACAUGAACGAGUCGCUACCGCCGCCUGAGGAUAUGGUGGUUGUUCCCAGCGAGGAGCAACAGCACCUCCCGCCAAGGCGCCAGCUAACCAACCGGAUGUGCUCGCUCGGCCCGAAAUUUCCAAUUACAGCGCCCAGGAUAGUAGCUUGGCUCGCUGUGCACCCCGGCCUCGCUCGCCCCAGAGCGUGGCCACCGAUUCGUCGCCUCGCCAGUACAAGUACCCAGAGGGCGACCACAUGCUCCUCUGUGAGUUCAAGAACAAGGCGGCUCUGAUAUUCUUCGACGAGGACCUCCUUGCACAGGCGCGCGCUGUCGGCCGCUGAUGCUGAGCAACCUACACGCGCCUAGCCCUGCCACCGCACGUCGAAUCGAGACCACCCAUGGCUGCCACUGGUCCUCCGCGGCCGCCGUUGUCGCUUUGAGUGGAAGGUGGACGAGCUGCGCGUAGCUUGAGCAGGUCGCGCUCUGGGGAUGCGUGCUGCCGUCGGACGCCGGAAGCAGCUGUCCCACGCUGCAAGACCCGCCAUGGCCGCCGCGAGCAGAUCGGUGUCGCUGCCACAUCUCCUCCGACUCUCAGUCACUGGAAUCCCCUUGUUAGAGUCUGAAGGAAAAUGGAGCUCUCCCGUUCGUUUGGAUUCUGGACCGUUCGAUCGUUUUCCUGAUGUGAUUCCGGCCGUCGGAUCUCGGGCUCGGCUCACGUGAGGCGUCGGAUAUUUACUAGAUCGUUGCGAGCCGUUGGAUAAAAUUCCAAUUGCAACAGAAGGUAAAUACCGUGCCCUCACCGGGGCAUCUGUGUCAUUUCGCGUACCAGCUAUAAAAUGACCGCGGCUUCCUACGAUGAAAACCUAGCAGCUGCCUCCUCUCUCACUCGCUCCCGCAGCCGCCUCCCUCCCUCCCUCCCACACAGGUGGCUCCCACCAACCACGGCGACGGCGGCAGCGGCCAUGGAGGAGGGCGCAGACCAGCGGCGCCGACGAUGGCGUCCGUGGCAGCUACGCAAUGAACCCUGUACCAUUUUUAUUUGUAUUUAAAUGUGUUGCUUAUUUAUGCUCAGGUGGUGUUCGUGCUAGGGCGAUGAUGAUUACCUUGGCUGGAAUUAGUGUGCCUUUGAGCAAUCGAGGCACCUAUGGGUAUCAAGUUGGAUCCUCCCUCUUGUCUCUAGAAUCCUUUUUGAUCCUGUGAUACUUGUUGUUGUCCUUGGAUGGUCAUUCUUGUUGAGUGAUAACUAGGGUAGCUGUACUAUAUAAACAGAUUGAUCUGGUGAGAAGAGAUGAUGGGGGUAGGUUAUAUGAUCGAGGAAAGGCGAAUCUGAGCCCAUUAUGCAAUAAAACUGCAGCUACCUCCCCUAAUGUGUGUAGUAUUGAAGGCAUAAAAUAACUUUUCAUGUCUUGCUACUUUAAAAUUCCAAAGAGAUUCAUUCUUCCUUUGUUGGUUACUUAACCAUGAUUUUUGUUUUGCUUUGGUUCUGGUUGAGAUACUAAAGGUUGUUUAUAUAUGAAAAGAACAAACACUUGGUAGUUUUGUAUGCCUCAACUGUUGCUUAGGAUCCAGUGUUGUAGUGCUUUGCCUAAUUGCAAAUAACUUUAAUCAAUAAUAGUGAUUCUUUCCUUUUGAUUUGAACUGAGAAAGAACCACUGAUUCUUGAUCUUAAGGUGACACCAUUUUUCUAUGCCUCAUGCUCAUGCUUCUCUAUGUUCCCUUUUAAAAAUUCUUGCUUGCAUUUUGGGUUGGUUUCUGCUCUAUGUUCCCUUUUAGCGUUUCUUUCUGUUGUUGCUGCACUCCCUUUUGGGCGUUCAUUUUUUAUGCCCAAGAUCUUGCAAAUUGUGCCUGUGCCGAGCUUGCUUUAGAGUACGGGCUGCAGAGACGUCGAGGACCUCAAGGUCACCGAUGUUGUGGAGCUGGACGAGGUUUCCGGGCAGUUCAUCGACCGCCUGUUCUUCCUGUAGAAGGUCUAGAGAUGAUUUACUCUGCCAGGCGGUAGCACUCGAAGCACACAGGCUGAACCUCAACAACAACCCCUACUUUUCUGGGCCCUAAUGUUGCAACGGCCAUGACGGCAUCGAGGCUCGGGCGUGUGGCCCUCGACAUGGAGCAGGCAGAGGAGUGACUACUACCCCAAUGGCAGCCUCUUCUCCCUUGUCCACGUUCGGUUGGUGCCGUGGCGGAGGGUUGUCUUGUGGUUUGACCAGAGAGGGAGCACACCAAAGAAGCGAUCUCGUCCCCAUUGGUCAGAUGCAGUAUGUAAUAACGAAUCACGCCGACCUCUGUCUAAAUGCAUGGAACUUGGUGUUGAGUUAUCUGAAUUGCUGCCCAGGAUUCAGUUUGUACUUUAUUUACCUAUAAUAUGGUAUGUAAUGACAAGGAAGUUGAGGACUAGGUAUGGAUGUUGUUUAACUA